rnacentral:lncRNA from 1 species
UAAUGGGUGUCUCUGAGAUGAACCAGGUUCAUUUAGGAUGGCAUUGACUGGAUAGUCACAAGCAAAUAAAGUAUUGAUGCCAAAAUGUUCCUUUCUUGAGGCUAUUUCCCACUUCUUCAGAGACACAUUCAACCUGUCCAGGACUAUGGUUAGAAUAAAGCCAUACAGAGUAGCAUGAGCCUUGCAGCCAUUUACGACCCUAUCUAGCAGCUUGAUAUUGAAAGCAUGCAAAUUGAUUUACUUUUGUCUCUCUAGGCACUCCUUAAGAACUAGAUCCACGUAGUUAGCAGUAUGCCUUCUCUCCUUGUAUUGGUAAUAAGCACAUAUUGACAAAUUCAAACACAACCUUGUGCCCAUGUCUCAUCUCACUUUUCUGCACAACCCUGGCUUCAUUCACUUCUUCCGAAUCACAAAACCUCCUGGUGAUUUCAAGGGCAGUAGGGAGGGAGUCUAGACAUGACCACAUUUACCUUGUAUAGUCAUCAAACCCUUUAAAGGGUAUGUCCAGAGUCUCUCCCAGUUUUUCUGCAUCAAACUGCAUUUGGACUUCUUUCACCAGGAUACUAACAACUCCAUCCUUAACAAUAAAAUUGGCCAUAAAUUCAAUCAGCUCAUUUCUGGUUAGCCGGCC